rnacentral:rRNA from 1 species
GACGAACCGUCCAAACGUUAUUCGGUAUCACUGGGCUUAAAUCGUGCGUAGGCGGCCUGGUAGGUGAGAUGUGAAAGCCCACGGCUCAACCGUGGAAUUGCGUUUCAAACCACCAGGCUUGAGGAUGGCAGGGGUGAUGGGAACUGAUGGUGGAGCGGUGAAAUGCGUUGAUAUCAUCAGGAACACCGGUGGCGAAGGCGCAUCACUGGGCCAUUUCUGACGCUGAGGCACGAAAGCUAGGGUAGCGAACGGGAUUAGAUACCCCU